GUGAUAGUGCCAGACACCAGCCAACUAAGGUGGCUCCCACAAGAAAUCAAGUUACACUCAGAGUCAUCUUGGAGAUAAACUUCAU
rnacentral:lncRNA from 1 species